UAAGAUAUAUAUGGGUGCAGUCUGCUACUCAGUGCCUCUGAAAUCAUACCAAUGAAAGGCAAAUCAAAUCAUAUGAGGUUAUGAAAAGAGAUUUCCUAGGAGUGUUUGAAUCAAGAAAAGUGGUAGACAAACUGGACCUCUCGGCAAGCCAUAUCUAACGGAUGCAACGCUUCUUUGAGCCUGUGUCUCAGCACUAAAAGUGAUACACUCUAGUGGUUGAGAAUCUCCACUUCAGAAGCUGAUGUCCAGAGUUAGCAAAUGGGCUCACUGCCUCCAGGAAAUCACUUGGCAUUUCUGUGCAUCACUAAGGAAUUGCUUGACUUCAAUGAUAAUGUCAGAAGUUGUCACUGGAGACAGGUCAGCUCACCAAAGCACCGAGACUUAAGACCACAUGAGGACACAGCAAGAAGGUGGCAUCUGCAAACCAGGAAGAGAGUGCACAAAAACCCAUCCCUGCUAGCCCCUUGAUCUUGGAAUCCUAACCCCAAGAACUGUGAAGAAAAUAAGGUCUAUUGUUUAAACUAUACACACUAUGGUAUUU